GAUGAACGCUGGCGGCGUGCCUAAUACAUGCAAGUCGAGCGAACAGACGAGGAGCUUGCUCCUCUGACGUUAGCGGCGGACGGGUGAGUAACACGUGGAUAACCUACCUAUAAGACUGGGAUAACUUCGGGAAACCGGAGCUAAUACCGGAUAAUAUAUUGAACCGCAUGGUUCAAUAGUGAAAGACGGUUUUGCUGUCACUUAUAGAUGGAUCCGCGCCGCAUUAGCUAGUUGGUAAGGUAACGGCUUACCAAGGCGACGAUGCGUAGCCGACCUGAGAGGGGGGACGGGCACCCUGGAAACGGAACCCCGGCCAAGACCCCACGGGGGGGAAGAGGAAGGAAUUCUUCGAGAAGGGGGAAAAGCCGGCGGGGCCAACGCGGGGGGAGGAAUAAAGGUCUCGGAAUCAAAAAAUUUUUUUAUAGGGAAAAAAAAAUUUUGAAAUUACCUAUGCAGUUCUGGAGGUACCCAAAAAAGAAACCCCGGACAAACUCGGGC
rnacentral:rRNA from 1 species